rnacentral:rRNA from 1 species
UACGUAGGGGGCAAGCGUUGUCCGGAUUUAUUGGGCGUAAAGAGCGUGUAGGCGGCUUGCUAAGUUGAAUGUGAAAACUCUGGGCUUAACCCAGAGCCUGCAUUCAAUACUGGCAGGCUAGAGUUCUGGAGGGGAUAGCGGAAUUCCUGGUGUAGCGGUGAAAUGCGUAGAUAUCAGGAGGAACACCGGUGGCGAAGGCGGCUAUCUGGACAGAGUCUGACGCUGAGGCGCGAAAGCUAGGGGAGCAAACAGG